GUUCGAUUCCGGAGAGGGAGCCUGAGAAACGGCUACCANANCCAAGGAAGGCAGCAGGCGCGCAAAUUACUCAAUCCCAAUACGGGGAGGUAGUGACAAUAAAUAACAAUAUGGGGCUCUUACGGGUCUCGUAAUUGGAAUGAGUACAAUUUAAAUCUCUUAACGAGGAACAAUUGGAGGGCAAGUCUGGUGCCAGCAGCCGCGGUAAUUCCAGCUCCAAUAGCGUAUAUUAAAGUUGUUGCAGUUAAAAAGCUCGUAGUUGAAUUUCGGAGUUUGUCGGUUGGUCGGGCUUCACUGUCCGCACUGGCCUGAUGGAUUCCUACCUUCUGAAUAACCAGCAUGCUAUUAAGUUAGUGCGUUGGGGAAGCAGAGCUAUUACCUUGAAAAAAUUAGAGUGCUUAAAGCAGGCCUUUGCUUGAAUAGAUUAGCAUGGAAUAAUAAAAUAGGACGGCAUGGUUCUAUUUUGUUGGUUUCUAGGAUCACCGUAAUGAUUAAUAGGGAUAGUUGGGGGCAUUAGUAUUCAAUUGUCAGAGGUGAAAUUCUUGGAUUUAUUGAAGACUAACUUCUGCGAAAGCAUUUGCCAAGGAUGUUUUCAUUAAUCAAGAACGAAAGUUAGGGGAUCGAAGACGAUCAGAUACCGUCGUAGUCUUAACCAUAAACUAUGCCGACUAGGGAUCGGACGAUGUUAAUUUU
rnacentral:rRNA from 1 species